rnacentral:lncRNA from 1 species
CUCACAAAUUCUGCUUUGAUCUUGAUUAGCCUGGAUGCUUCUAGGUUGGAAACUGUAUGGAGGAGGCAGAGAUCUAAAGGCCUACAGCGUGGCAUGGAUAUCCACUGGCUGGCACACCAGAAGCCAUGUUAGACUAAGAGGUGACUCAGGAUGGCCAUGCACUGGAGGUAGCAAAGCAGAGAGAAAGGAGUCUGCCUGAUGACAG